GACAUCCCGGAGACCCUUAGGAAACUAGGGGUGCUCCAUCUGGAAGAAUCUGGAGACAGGUGCUGCAUGGCUGUCGUCAGCUCGUGUCGUGAGAUGUUGGGUUAAGUCCCGCAACGAGCGCAACCCUUGCCUUUAGUUGCCAGCAGUUCGGCUGGGCACUCUAAAGGGACUGCCGGUGUUAAACCGGAGGAAGGUGGGGAUGACGUCAAGUCCUCAUGGCCUUUAUGACCAGGGCUACACACGUACUACAAUGGCCGAUACAAAGGGCAGCGACACUGCGAGGUGAAGCCAAUCCCGUAAAAUCGGUCUCAGUCCGGAUUGGAGUCUGCAACUCGACUCCAUGAAGUUGGAAUCGCUAGUAAUCGUGGAUCAGCAUGCCACGGUGAAUACGUUCCCGGGCCUU
rnacentral:rRNA from 1 species